UACAGAGGGGGCAAGCGUUGUUCGGAAUUACUGGGCGUAAAGGGCGCGUAGGCGGCCUUCUAAGUCGAACGUGAAAUCCCUGGGCUCAACCCAGGAACUGCGUCCGAUACUGGAAGGCUUGAAUCCGGGAGAGGGAUGCGGAAUUCCAGGUGUAGCGGUGAAAUGCGUAGAUAUCUGGAGGAACACCGGUGGCGAAGGCGGCAUCCUGGACGGUAACUGACGCUGAGACGCGAAAGCGUGGGUAGCAAACAGG
rnacentral:rRNA from 1 species